UAGCGAUAGGCUGGUUUUCUCAAGAAAAGAAUUUUAGUCCAACCUAAAGUUACAAAACUACAUUAAAAUAAACAUUUUACUUUAGAGCAAUUCAAAUAAGGUACAACCUAUUUGAAACGGGAUACAACCCUAACUAACGGGUAAAAUACCUAACAUAUUAUUUAAGUAGACUUAAAAGCAGUCAUCUUUAAAAAAGCGUCAAAGCUUAACAAAAUAAUUAUUAAUCCCACAACUUACAUUAACCCCUUUCCCUCUACUGAGAAAUUCUAUAUACCUAUAGAAAAUUUUAUGCUAAAACUAGUAACAAGAGGUAACCCCUCUCUACGAUGCAAACAUAAACCAGAUUGAACUCUUCACUGGUAGUUAACAAAUCUUAAUAAAAGUAACAACUCCUCUAGAAAACAUUACCCUAUUAAUUGUUAACCUUACACUAGAGCAUCUCAAGAAAGAUUAAAAGAAAAAGAAGGAACUCGGCAAACACUAAUUCCGCCUGUUUACCAAAAACAUCACCUCUUGAUCCCAUAAGAGGCCAAGCCUGCCCAGUGACUCAUGUUCAACGGCCGCGGUAUCCUAACCGUGCGAAGGUAGCGUAAUCACUUGUCUUCUAAAUAAAGACUAGUAUGAAAGGCUUCACGAGAAUUAAACUGUCUCCCUUUUCUAAUCAGUUAACCUAAUCUCCCCGUGAAGAAGCGGGGUUAACAAUAUAAGACGAGAAGACCCUAUGGAGCUUAAAACAAUAUAACACAUGUUCUACACAAUAUUAAAUACCUCACUCACAUGCUGAUUAUACGUUUUUGGUUGGGGUGACCGCGGAGAACAACUCAACCUCCGCAAUGAAUGGAAAAAUUUACCUAAACUAUAAGCCACAACUUUAAGUAUCAAAAAAUUGACACAUUUGACCCAAUAUAUUGAUCAACGAACCAAGUUACCCUAGGGAUAACAGCGCAAUCCACUUAAAGAGCCCUUAUCGACAAGUGGGCUUACGACCUCGAUGUUGGAUCAGGGUAUCCCAGUGGUGCAGCCGCUACUAAAGGUUCGUUUGUUCAACGAUUAAAACCCUACGUGAUCUGAGUUCAGACCGGAGCAAUCCAGGUCAGUUUCUAUCUAUAACGGAGCUAUUUUUAGUACGAAAGGACCUAAAUAGCACGGCCUAUACCCCUAUCAAGCCGUAGUUAAUUAUUUUUGAUUACACUCAAAAAACUAUUAACCCCACCUCAUAAUU
rnacentral:rRNA from 1 species